rnacentral:tRNA from 1 species
GGGGUUGUGGCUCAGUGGUAGAGCACUCGCCUAGCAUGUGCCAGGCCCUGGGUUUGAUCCUCAGCACCACA